rnacentral:rRNA from 1 species
UGCCGCGUGUGUGAAGAAGGCCUUCGGGUUGUAAACUGCUUUUGUCCGGAAAGAAAAGGCUCUUUUUAAUAACCAGGGCUUAUGACGGUACCGUAAGAAUAAGCACCGGCUAACUACGUGCCAGCAGCCGCGGUAAUACGAAGGGUGCGAGCGUUAAUCGGAAUUACUGGGCGUAAAGCGUGCGCAGGCGGUUAGUUAAGACAGAUGUGAAAUCCCCGGGCUCAACCUGGGAAUUGCAUCUGAGACUGGUUGACUUGAGUGCGGUAGAGGGGGAUGGAAUUCCCCGUGUAGCAAUGAAAUGCGUAAAUGUGCGGAGGAACACCGAUGGCGAAGGCGAUCCCCUGGACCUGUACUGACACUCAUGCACGAAAGCGUGGGGAGCAAACAGGAUUAGAUACCCUGGUAGUCCACGCCCUAAACGAUGUCAACUGGUUGUUGGGUGCAUUAUUACCCUUUAACGAAGAGCUUACGUGAAGUUGACCGCCUGUGGAGUACAGUGACGCGGGACAGACUCACAGGAGUAGAGAGUGACGCGCACAAACGCUGCAUGAAUGUG